GCACUAAGUUAAAAUUAUAAUAAAUGUGAGAGAGAUUCCUAAGUAAUAAAAUAACUAAAUUCUAGUUAUGAAGUUGAUCAUGGAUGCAAUGAUUAGCUUUAUUAGAAACGCAGCAAACCAGUUAUAGUUGUCAGAAACAUUCCGAAAAUCAAUCCUCCCUUAAUUCUGAACUAGUCAAGAAACAUUCAUCAGCUAAUUCUUCAUUGAUCAAAUAGUCCUGG
rnacentral:lncRNA from 1 species